rnacentral:rRNA from 1 species
AUGCCCUACACCUCCCGGCGGCGGCGGCGGCGGCGGCGGCGAGCAGCAAGCAGUCAGCGGCAAGAUGAGGUCUGUUCUGAUGAAGGGGCACGAGCGCCCGCUCACGUUCCUCAAGUACAACCGGGACGGCGACCUGCUCUUCUCCUGCGCCAAAGGCCACACCCCCACCGUGUGGUACGCCUCCAACGGCGACCGCCUCGGCACUACCGCGGCCACAACGGCGCCGUGUGGUCCUGCGACGUCUCCCGCCACUCCACGCGCCUCAUCACCGGGAGCGCCGACCAGACCGCCAAGCUCUGGGACGUCCAGACGGGGAGGGAGCUCUUCACCUUCAGGUUCGACGCCUCCGCGCGCUCCGUCGACUUCGCCAUCGGCGACCACCUGGCGGUCAUCACCACCGACAGCUUCAUGGGGAAGACGCCCACCGCGCAGGUCAAGCGCAUCGCCGAGGACCUGCAAGACCACCGGAAAGCUGCUGAAGAGUCAGACAAGGAGGCUGGACAUCAGAAGGCAAUUAGCUCACUCUCAAAAUCCUUAGAUUGGUCUCAUUUCCUCACAGGUUCCUUGGAUAAAUCUGCUAAGCUAUGGGAUGCAAGAACACUGACCCUGAUAAAGACAUAUGUCACAGAGCGACCAGUUAAUGCUGUUGACAUGUCUCCUACUCUUGAUAAUGUGGUUAUUGGAGGUGGUCAAGAUGCAAUGAACGUUACUAUGACAGAUCGCCGUGCCGGUAAAUUCGAGGCCAAAUUUUUCCACAAGAUUUUACAAGAAGAGAUUGGUGGUGUUAAAGGACAUUUUGGACCAAUCAAUGCAUUGGCAUUUAAUCCUGAUGGGAAGCGGUUAUUUCAUAUUACAUUGUAUUUUGAUUUCUUAUAUUCGUAUUCUGCCUCUGCACUUGGGUUUGUGUUAUGCCUCUGUUUCACACUUGUUUUAACGACCUGUGUUUUCCCAUGUAAUGUCCAUAGCUUUUCGAGUGGUGGGGAGGAUGGAUAUGUGAGGCUACACCAUUUUGAUCCUGAGUAUUUCAACAUCAAGAUGUAA